UAUUAUCUAUGACCCCAUCCCUAGAGCUGUCAGUGUCAAAUGUGGUUGUGCGAAUGUGCGAAUUUUCGUUUUCGUUUUGAUAAUUUAGCAAAUAGUGAUUUAAAUAAUUUCUCUUACGUGUAUAUAACUAUUCGUUAAAUGUCGUGACAGUGCAAUAAAAUGCAGUUCUAUAAGGAAAGGAUUUUGAACGCUGCACAGUUAAAAAGAUUAAGUGAACAUAAAUAUUCGUGUACCAGUGCUAGUAUAUUGGACGCAUGGCUUCAACCUUGGUGGUGCUGGCUGGUGUCUAAGACGCCGCUAUGGCUCGCUCCGAAUCUCAUUACAAUUUUAGGUCUAAUUGUAAAUGUAGUGACAACAUUAAUAUUAGUUUGGUACAGUCCUGAUGCGCGGCAGGAGGUGCCGCGGUGGGCAUGCGCGGCUUGUGCGCUGGGCGUGUUCGUUUACCAGAGCCUGGACGCCAUUGAUGGCAAGCAGGCGCGCCGCACCGGCAGCCAGUCACCGCUCGGGGAGCUCUUCGACCACGGCUGUGACAGCAUAUCCACUGUUUUCAUAGCGCUGGGUGCAUGCAUAGCUGUUAAACUCGGAGAGUAUCCAACAUGGAUGUUCUUCCAGUGUUUCUGUGCGAUGACACUGUUCUACUGCGCGCACUGGCAGGCAUACGUCACGGGCACGCUAAAGAUGGGCCGUGUUGACGUCACCGAGGCGCAGUACGCCAUCAUGGCCAUCCAACUCAUCUCCGCCACACUCGGCUCCGACUUCUGGGCUACCAAGCUCCCGACCGUCGACCUCGCCAUUAACUUGGUGUCCAACUAUGCCGUCGUCCUAGUGACCCUCUCUCUCGUGUUCGGCUACGUUAAAGUCAUUAUGAGAGGCGGCGUGGGGAAGAACGGCUCCACAGUCGCAGGCACCAGCAUCCUGUCUCCGGUGAUCCCCUUCUCGCUGGUGGUGGUGCCCGCCUUCAUCAUCUUCCAGAAGAGCGAGUCCCACGUGUACGAGAACCACCCCUCGUUAUACAUACUGGCGUUCGGCAUGGUCGCCGCCAAAGUCACCAAUAGACUUGUGGUGGCGCACAUGACGAAGAGCGAGAUGGAGUACUACGACUGGUCGCUGCUGGGCCCCGCCAUGCUCUUCCUCAACCAGUACUUCAACAACGCGCUGCCCGAGUACGCUGUGCUCUGGCUCUGCACGAUUUGGGUGUGCGUGGACCUGAUCCGGUACUGCGGUCAGAUCUGCCUGGAGAUCUGCGACCAUCUGAAGAUCCGUCUGUUCCGCAUCCCGCACCCCGGGGCGGGGGUAGCAGGUGCGGGUGCGGCGAGCGCGGCGAGCAUGUUGGCGAGCGCGCACGGCGAGCGCAACGGUACGGGCGCGCGACGCGCACAGGGCAAGCUCGGCAAGCGCGCCUCGCACUCUUAGGAUACAUCCGCCGCGGAGCGGACAGAGCGGACAGUGAGGUCGCGACACAUGUCUGCUGUGUAGUGGCACUCACAUGUAUUUUACUAUAGUUUGCAGCGACACCGAGAUAUCUGACAGCGAAGACUCUGCUCCCCUCCUCAA